GAUGAACGCUGGCGGCGUGCCUAAUACAUGCAAGUCGAGCGAACAGACGAGGAGCUUGCUCCUCUGACGUUAGCGGCGGACGGGUGAGUAACACGUGGAUAACCUACCUAUAAGACUGGGAUAACUUCGGGAAACCGGAGCUAAUACCGGAUAAUAUAUUGAACCGCAUUGUUCAAUAGUUAAAGACGGUGUUGCUGUCACUUAUAGAUGGAUCCGCGCCGCAUUAGCUAGUUGGUAAGGUAACGGCUUACCAAGGCGACCAUGCGUAGCCGACGUGAGAGGGCAAGCGGCCACACUGGAACUGCGACAGUGUCCAGACUACAACGGGAGUGAGAAGUAGGGAAUCUUCCGCAAUGGGCGAGAGCCUGGCGGAGCACCGCCGGGUGAGUGAUGAAGGUCUUCGGAUCGUAAAACUCUUUUAUUAGGGAAAAACAAAUGUGUAAGUAACUAUGCACGGCUUGACGGUACCUAAUCAGAAAGCCAGGGCUAACUACGGG
rnacentral:rRNA from 1 species